CACUAGAUGGGGAGUUAGCGGUGCCCUGAACUUGCAAUCCGCUAUAGCAAGGUCGAAUGGUUGGUGCGGGAAAUAAAUGUGUUUGGAUGAACUUUUUAGUUCUAUGAUGAAAUUAAGGUCUUAUGCAAUAACUUGCUGUGAACCAUGUCAGGUCCUGACGGAAGCAGCAUUAAGCAGAUUUAGUUAUGUGAUGUAAGGUAGCUUUGGUGGAGU
rnacentral:SRP_RNA from 1 species